rnacentral:misc_RNA from 1 species
CUUAUUUCUUACUACCUGUACAACAAGGUUCUUGAUGUCAACUUCUCGUCUAGAGCUAUUGGAGAUGUAGAUUUGAACAAGUCUGAACCCUGGGAAUUGCCAUGGAAAGCGAAAUUGGGAGAGAAAGAAUGGUACUUUUUCUGUGUGAGGGACAGAAAGUACCCAACUGGUCUUAGGACGAAUAGGGCAACUGAAGCUGGUUACUGGAAAGC